rnacentral:lncRNA from 1 species
AUGUUCCCAUCUAGAACCCUAUGGAUAAAAGGGUCAUUGAAAGGGCAGAAGGGCAACUGAAAGAUUGUUCUUAGAGUAUAAAACCACAAGUUUAUGAUUUCCACUUCACCAACCAUCAGAUUUCAGAAUUAACGGAGGCAAAAAAACCGUACAGGGAAGGGACUCCGCCGAAGAUUGAUGAAAACUUAUCAAAAAAGGUAGGGGCUAUCCAUUUCAUAAUCUUGAAAUAUGGUUGAACACC